AUAGUGUGAGCGGCCGAUGUUUCUCCAGAUUUGUUUAUUGGCCUCUGGUGCUGGACUCCGUUUAGUGGUUAGCUUAAGAUCAAUCACUCUGUUGGGCUUUUCUAGCAGUCUUGGAGAUCUCUCCGUCUGUCCGUGGAAGGCAGCACUCUCAGCAGCGUGGUAAAGAAGAUGGUUCAUCCGGCUUCUGUGUCUAAUGUUGAAAUGCCCUGUAACUUUAUAAUGUGUGAUUAUACAGCAGGGAACUGCACCAUCUCUGAACAUUCCUUCAUAUAAUACUGUUCAUUGCUUUACAUCCUUUGCAACUUAGGAACUCUCUUUGUUUCUACAACUCCUCAGUAUCAGUGAGGAGACAGUGGGUUCCAGUGAGAGUAGACACCGCCACCUCCUGGACCAAAGCAAGCAUUGGCCCAGGCACUACUUCCGCACUAUUGAAGGAAUCCGUGCCAUUUCCCACAAUGAACUGACGCAGCUUUAAACCAGGACACCUCAACAUUGUCCAGGGAAAUCCUGAGGAUGCUUCGGAGCAGCUGUAGACCUCCAACUUGCGGAUCAGGAUGUAAGUUCUUACUCCAGCACUAUGCCUACCUGCUGCUGUGCUCCCGGCCAUGACAGUCACAGACUCGGUCUCUGACACUGUCUCCAGGAAUAUCUGUCUUAAACAAUUAGUUCUAGCUCAAAAUGAUGCACAGUCCUGGCUCGGUGAGGAAUGAACCUCUUUCCCAUUGUUGACCUGUCCCACCAGAAGACUCAACGUGUCACCAAAACUACUGGAUUUGAGGCACACGAGGACCACCAGCUUGUCUCGUUGAUAAGACUGUGGUUUCUUUUCACUGGGAUCACCUUGAGGCAGAUAGAAAGACAAAAGGGACACAGGAGAGGGAAGAAGCCCCACACCCCAGAAUCUGGAUGCCAAUGAGAAACUGCAACAUACGUGAUAAUUAAAAUUGCAGAUUCUCCAUCCCUAAAGAUGUCUCAAGCAGGGACGCUAAAACAGCAAAUACACCAUGCUCGUUAUCCAGGACCAGAAUGUUUGUGACCUCUGCAUUAAGCCAGAAGCCCUCACAUCCCUACAGUUUACCUUAUAAGCCACCUUACAAUUUCAUUUGCAAAGGGAAAUUCCUUAAGAAAAAAAUAUUUUUACACUUAAUUAAAAAAUGUAUCUUU